AGAAUUUUAAGUUAUUAAAACUAAAAGCCUUCAAAGUUUUCAAAAAAAGUUUAAAUCUUUUAAAUUCUA
rnacentral:tRNA from 1 species